GAUGAACGCUAGCUACAGGCUUAACACAUGCAAGUCGAGGGGUAACAUUGGCUGAGCUUGCUCAGCCAGAUGACGACCGGCGCACGGGUGAGUAACGCGUAUCCAACCUGCCCAUUACUCAGGUAUAGCCCAGUGAAAACUGGAUUAAUCCCUGAUGCGGUCUCGUGCAGACAUCUAAGCGAGACCAAAGUUUUCAACGGUAAUGGAUGGGGAUGCGUCUGAUUAGCUUGUUGGCGGGGUAACGGCCCACCAAGGCGACGAUCAGUAGGGGUUCUGAGAGGAAGGUCCCCCACAUUGGAACUGAGACACGGUCCAAACUCC
rnacentral:rRNA from 1 species